CGCGCCUUUGCAAGGAAAGAGGGCUUCCUGGGAGGGUGGCUUCGAGGCCCGAGAGCUCGCAUCAGUCAUUCCAAACGUCGUUAGGAAGCGGGACGGGAUCGAUGAGGCGAUGGAAAGUCGGGUUCCAGACUGCCUCGGGGGGCGUUCACCGCUGAGCCCGGGCCGCGCCCCCCCCCCCCCCCUUCCCGGCCGCCCGGUGCCCCGCUGGGGACUGCGCAGGUCCCGGCCCAGGCCCUCGGCGCGGCCCCCCUUCAGCCCUUCACGUUGGGGCUGCGUGAGGGCGUACAGCCGUCGAGGAUCGGAGCCUAGGGGUGCCGGGGCUCCCAGAGAGUGUGACUCGGAGGGGCAGAGGUUCCCCGCUUCCUAAAGCCGGGGCGCCCCAGAGCGACUGGGAACCUAACGCGGUGCGCCUGCCACCCGUCCCCUCGCAAGGAAGGAGGAGGAGAUCGAAGGACAGCCUUUGCCCGAUCAUUGAAAGAGAAGCUUCUGGCCCCUCCCCGGAUGGUUUGGAGCGGUUCGUAACUCAGGCUGACCCGCCUUUUCCGGCCCCUCCCAGCACUCUCACCCCCACCCGGAGGCCGGGGCGCGCGCCAUCGGGCAGGCGGGCCUGGGCACAGCCACUACGGAGCCACAGAGCGGACAGCAGGGAGGGAAGGAGGGCCAAGCUGGAUUUCCAGGAGGCUGGACUUCCUCAUCGUCUCCUCCCACGCCUGAGAGCGCGGCCGGGGGGUGGGGGAGGGGGGAAGGGCUCCUGCCCUGUUGGAACCCUCCCUGGUGCGGGCGCCAGCUGCUUUUGGCAGGGUUUAUGGAUGUGCGGUCAGACCGGGCUCCUCAUCCUUGUUCACCUCAUGAGCCACCCAGAAAAUUUAUAUAAUGUUCCCGUGACUUUCAGGGGUGAACUGGUACUUAAAAUGGUCUAAUUUGCGGAAGGCACCUGCAUUAGAGAGCAGCUGACCCGCGGUUGGCGUGGACACCGUGAAACUGUGCACCAGCCACAAAAGGAGAGAGUACAGCCUGACAGGAAAAAACCACCAUGGGACUAGAAGCUCCCGACCAACGAGGAUAUUAUUGCACAUUCAGAUGGACGAGGUACCUCUCUGCAGGUUGUGACUGCUUAACUCUGAGCAGCAGACUUUAAAAGAACCUCUUUCUACAAAUAUGAUGACAAUCUUAAAAUACCCAACAGGCUAACGAGGAAGAAAAACCACUCCUUCUGUCUAAGGGGAAUGGUGAAAUAAUGGCCCAAAGCUGUCCUCUGCAAUUCCUUUGGGGGUGACAUUAAAGGAUUGGAAGGCAUCGGGGAAACCAACAGGAACAUUAGCUUUAAAAAAAAAAAGAUUUUAUGUUUAAGUAAUCUCUACAUCCAACAUGGGGCUCGAACUCACAACGCCGAGAUCAAGAGUCACACACUCCAUCGACUUAGCCAGCCAGGUGCCCCAGGAAAAUUAGCUUUGUUAGUAAAAUGAGCUUACUUAGUGAAAAGAAUUCUCACUGGAUCUAGCUUUUAACAAAUCUAUGGUCAUUUUAUGAUUCUAUAUAUUUUCUGGAGUAGAAGUCUGAUGACCAGCACCUUUUAACUGAUAAAAAGAGCAACUCCGAAGCACACAAAUGUGUCUAGGGAAGGGGUCUUGUGCCUCUUUUUACUCAAUGAGCCUGUGGUUCUUCUUGGUUUUCGUGUAUAUGAGUGUGUCUGUGUGUGUGCACAUGGGCGUGCGUGUGCACAUGUGUGGGAGAGUAGAUCCAGGUUUGGUGGGGUUUUUUAUUUUAUGAUUUGGGGAUCCCUUAAAGAGAAAAAAGAACAGAACAUUAUGGAUACAGAAUUAGGUAAGAGAAGAAUGUUAUGCAGAUUCAGAAAGAAAACAAUACAUAGCAUACUUUAAAAAAAAUGUUUAUUUUUGAGAGAGAGAGAAAGAGAGCACAAGCAAGG